AAAAAUUGGGAAACCUCAGUAAGCCAGCGUUUUUCUCGUCAAAG
rnacentral:sRNA from 1 species